rnacentral:rRNA from 1 species
GCUCAACUGCAAACGUGCAUUGGAAACUGGAGGACUUGAGUGCAGAAGAGGAGAGUGGAAUUCCACGUGUAGCGGUGAAAUGCGUAGAGAUGUGGAGGAACACCAGUGGCGAAGGCGACUCUCUGGUCUGUAACUGACGCUGAGGAGCGAAAGCGUGGGGAGCGAACAGGAUUAGAUACCCUGGUAGUCCACGCCGUAAACGAUGAGUGCUAGGUGUUAGGGGGUUUCCGCCCCUUAGUGCUGAAGUUAACGCAUUAAGCACUCCGCCUGGGGAGUACGGCCGCAAGGCUGAAACUCAAAAGAAUUGACGGGGACCCGCACAAGCGGUGGAGCAUGUGGUUUAAUUCGAAGCAACGCGAAGAACCUUACCAGGUCUUGACAUCCUUUGACCGCUCUAGAGAUAGAGUUUUCCCUUCGGGGACAAAGUGACAGGUGGUGCAUGGUUGUCGUCAGCUCGUGUCGUGAGAUGUUGGGUUAAGUCCCGCAACGAGCGCAACCCUUAAUCUUAGUUGCCAGCAUUUAGUUGGGCACUCUAAGGUGACUGCCGGUGACAAACCGGAGGAAGGUGGGGAUGACGUCAAAUCAUCAUGCCCCUUAUGACCUGGGGCUACACACGUGCUACAAUGGACGGAACAAAG